rnacentral:lncRNA from 1 species
AUGGGGCAUUCGGAUAACGACGGGGGCCGGCCCUAUGAGACCCUCGAAGGCCUGCAGCGCCCAGAGCGCCGCCAGGCACCCCUUCUCCCCGGGCGGAUAGAGGACCUCGUGGUCCUUCAGGGGCCAGGAGCUGAAGCGCACCGGCACCAGCUCCCCCCGCUCGUCCUCCUGCAGCAAGGCGGCCCCCGCAGCCCCGUCGCUCGCCCUCAGCCUGAUGACGAAGGGCUCGGACUUCUCCGGGAAGCGCAGGGCGGGCGCGGCGAGGACGGCGCGCUGCAGGCGGCUCAGCGCCUGCCGCUGCUCGGCUCCCCACACCCAGGCCGCCUGCUUCCUCGUGAGCCUCUGCAGCGGCCGCGCCAGCUCCGCGUAGCCCUCGACGUACUUCUCCAGGGAGCUCAGGAGGGUGCCAGGGGGAUGGCGAAGGAGCUGCAGGACAGGUCGACCACCGAGAAGAACCUGCUGCGGGGGCUCAGGGACGUCACCGCCUCGGUUAUGUCCAGGGACUCGGCGGCCUCGCGGAGGGCGACCCUGUUGAGGGCUCUGCAGUCGAGCGUCAGCCUCCAACGUUCCCCGGGGCCUUUCCGAUAGAGCCACAGGGGGCUGUUGGAGGCCGACGUGCCUCUCACCACCACGCCGCCGCGCAGCAUCUCCGGCAGGACGGCGGCCACCGCGUCCUCCAGGUGUUUGGGAAGCGGCUUCUGGGCUUGGAACGGCACCGGCCCCGUCGUCCUCACCUCCACCUCCUCGCCCACCAGCCCGCAGUCCAGCUCGUAUCUCGCCCACACGGCUGGAAAUUCCUCCCUCCACCGCUCUUUGCUCCUGUCCUGCAGCUCCAUGGCCCCAAAGAUCCGCAUCGCGGGGGGGGGGGGCCGGGAAGCGACGCUGGGGCUCUCCUUCCUCUCGGCCGGGUGCCGGCGCUGCGGGGGCCGGCGGAGGGGAACGGGGGGGCCUUGCUUCCAAGGGAAGGGUUUUGCUCCACCAGCCGCGGUGGGACGAGCAGCACAAGGGUUAAAAGCUGGGUCUGUGCCACGGGGAGGAAGAGGAAGGUGGCGUUUCGGUCCCCGUCCCCCCUCCCGGGGCUAGAAGAUGGCAGCCGGGUCACGCGUCCCCUCCUCUUCCUGGCACCGAGCUGCCGGGGCUGGGGGAGGAGAGCGGAGCAUCAGGGGGUGCUGGACCCCAAACGGUGCUCCCCAAGGAGCUGGGGUGGGGGGGGGGUGUGCGGCAUCGAAGCCCCGUGCCCACGGUGGGGCUGGGCGGAGGUGGGAGCCUGGUGGUGCCUGCACAGGGACAGGGCAGCCCUGGGGGCCGCAAGCGUGCAGCCGCGGACCCAGAGGUGCCGCUGGUGGUGCCGA